CUCCCUCAACCUUACUCCAGGGGCUUUUGCUUUUAGUACCUUGGCAUUGCCUGAGGGUACAGGAAAAGCGCAUUUUCCUCCCCAGAAAAACUGUUUCCUUCGGGGCCUAUAAGGUGAGCUGACUGU